rnacentral:tRNA from 1 species
GUUUCCGUGGUGUAGUGGUUAUCACGUGCGCCUCACACGCGCAAUGUCCCCGGUUCGAUCCCGGGCGGAAACA